rnacentral:rRNA from 1 species
AUGACUUUUGUUUCUUUGUUUGUGCUAUCUCUACGAGACUGGUUGGACGCCUCACUCAAUCAUGCUACUCCAUCNNNNNNNNNNUUCAUUCUCAUACUUUCAAGGAAUUUUAUCGUAUCUGGGAGAAUGAAACCUGAGGAGGCUGUUGUAGCAAUAUUGUCUUCUCUACCAGAUGAAGUUGUGGAUAGAGUUUGUACAGUAUUGCCAUAUGAAGAUUCAAUUUCUGAGAGGAGGGAAAAACUGGAAUUCCUUGAGAUGCAGGAAGAACUUAUCAAGGUGAUAUAUAUGUCUUACAAAUAUUAA